rfam:Myotis davidii contig208873, whole genome shotgun sequence.
GGGAAAGGGGAAGAGGGGCCAGCCCCGGGCCCCUCAACAGUGUUACGGGGCA